AUUGAACGCUGGCGGAAUGCUUUACACAUGCAAGUCGAACGGCAGCACGGGGGCAGCCCUGGUGGCGAGUGGCGAACGGGUGAGUAAUACAUCGGAACGUGCCCGGUCGUGGGGGAUAACGUAGCGAAAGUUACGCUAAUACCGCAUACGAUCUGAGGAUGAAAGCGGGGGACCUUCGGGCCUCGCGCGAUCGGAGCGGCCGAUGUCAGAUUAGGUAGUUGGUGGGGUAAAGGCCUACCAAGCCGACGAUCUGUAGCUGGUCUGAGAGGACGACCAGCCAAACUGGGACUGGGACCCGGCCCAGACCCCUACGGGGGGCAGCAGGGGGGAAUUUGGGACAAGGGGCGCAAGCCUGACCCACCCAUUCCGCGUGCAGGACGAAGGUCUUCGGGUUGUAAACUGCUUUUGUACGGAACAAAAAGGCUCUGGCUAAUACCGGGGGCUCAUGCCGGUACCGUAAAAAUAAGCACCGGCUAACUACG
rnacentral:rRNA from 1 species